UGUAAGGCUCUCUCAAUGAAAAUAAAUAGCCGCAAUAUAACGUGCUAAGGUAGCAUAAUAAUUUGCCUAUUAAUUAUAGGAUAGAAUGAAAGAUUCAACAUUUUAAUCAAUUUAUUUAAAAAUACAAUUUAAUUUAAAUUAAAAGUAAAAAUACUUUUAAAUAUAAAAUAGACGAUAAGACCCUAUCGAACUUUACAAAGUUUAGUUGGGGAAACUAAUUAAUAAUAAUUUUAAUUUAAAAUUUUACAAUAAAUUCCUAUUAAAUUAUAAUUAACAAGUUACCGUAGGGAUAACAGCGCAAUUAUUUUCUAAAGCUCUUAUUUUAAAAAUAAAUUACGACCUCGAUGUUGAAUUAUAGAAACUUCUUAAAGCAAAAUUAAAAAAGCUAGUCGUCGACCUUC
rnacentral:rRNA from 1 species